UACGGAGGGUGCAAGCGUUGUCCGGAAUCAUUGGGCGUAAAGAGCGUGUAGGCGGCUCGGUAAGUCCGCUGUGAAAGUCCAGGGCUCAACCCUGGAAUGCCGGUGGAAACUGUCGAGCUAGAGUCCGGAAGAGGCGAGUGGAAUUCCUGGUGUAGCGGUGAAAUGCGCAGAUAUCAGGAGGAACACCAAUGGCGAAGGCAGCUCGCUGGGACGGUACUGACGCUGAGGCACGAAAGCGUGGGGAGCAAACAGG
rnacentral:rRNA from 1 species